CCUACGGGAGGCAGCAGUGGGGGAUAUUGCACAAUGGGGGAAACCCUGAUGCAGCGACGCCGCGUGUGGGAAGACGGUCCUCUGGAUUGUAAACCACUGUCCCCAGGGACGAAGAUGACGGUACCUGGGGUGGAAGCUCCGGCUAACUACGUGCCAGCAGCCGCGGUAAUACGUAGGGAGCGAGCGUUGUCCGGAAUUACUGGGUGUAAAGGGAGCGUAGGCGGGACUGCAAGUUGGGUGUCAAAUCUACCGGCUCAACCGGUAGCCGCACUCAAAACUGCAGUUCUUGAGUGAAGUAGAGGCAGGCGGAAUUCCUAGUGUAGCGGUGAAAUGCGUAGAUAUUAGGAGGAACACCAGUGGCGAAGGCGGCCUGCUGGGCUUUUACUGACGCUGAGGCUCGAAAGUGUGGGGAGCAAACAGGAUUAGAUACCCCUGUAGUC
rnacentral:rRNA from 1 species